rnacentral:rRNA from 1 species
UACGUAGGGGGCAAGCGUUGUCCGGAUUUAUUGGGCGUAAAGAGCGUGUAGGCGGUUAGGUAGGUCCGUUGUGAAAACUCGAGGCUCAACCUCGAGACGCCGAUGGAAACCAUCUGACUAGAGUCCGGAAGAGGAGAGUGGAAUUCCUGGUGUAGCGGUGAAAUGCGCAGAUAUCAGGAGAACACCAGUGGCAAGGCAGCUCGCUGGGACGGUACUGACGCUGAGACGCGAAAGCGUGGGUAGCAAACAGG